UGAGGAAUAUUGGUCAAUGGGCGAGAGCCUGAACCAGCCAAGCCGCGUGAGGGAAGAAGGCGCUCAGCGUCGUAAACCUCUUUAGCCGGGGAACAAAGAGCUUCUCGGGAAGGAGCGAUGAGUGUACCCGGAGAAUAAGCAUCGGCUAACUCCGUGCCAGCAGCCGCGGUAAUACGGAGGAUGCGAGCGUUAUCCGGAUUUAUUGGGUUUAAAGGGUGCGCAGGCGGACAGACAAGUCUGCGGUAAAAUCGCGGGGCUCAACCCCGCCGAGCCGUGGAAACUUUCUGACUAGAGUAGGCGAGAAGUAUGCGGAAUGCGCGGUGUAGCGGUGAAAUGCUUAGAGAUCGCGCAGAACUCCGAUUGCGAAGGCAGCAUACCGGCGCCUUACUGACGCUCAGGCACGAAAGCGUGGGGAUCGAACAGG
rnacentral:rRNA from 1 species